UCCCCCCAAAGGCAGAAGACAACUCGACAAGACACAAACUCGAACCCAUUUUGCGAUUACUUCCACUGUUCCCUCCACAUCCUCCCUCAGUAAAACCCUAAUCUUCGAUCUCUCUUCUCUUUCUCUCUCUAAAACCCACACUUUCUCUCUCCCUUCAUCGAUUCCCCUCUCCAAUCUCCUAUCCUCGUAAGAUCUCCUAAUUUUCCGCCUAGGGUUUCUUCGGAUUGGGCCUCCGUCAAGGCUGGCGGGUACUCGAGCCAUGUAAAUGGCGGAUCCGUCAGGUAUCUGCCCCUGCAAACGUCGUAUUACAGUUACAGUUACAGAUACAGUUACGGGCGGUAGCGUCAGAAGCAGCAACAGUAGCAGCAGGAGAAGAAGAAGAACAUUGGUGUUGAUAGGGUCAAAGAGUGAAGCAUGCUGAGCGUGCUGCGAGUGCACCUCCCUUCCGAUAUUCCCAUUGUAGGAUGUGAGCUCACGCCUUACGUGCUCCUCCGCCGCCCAGAUAAGACCGUUACCACCGAUGAUGUUUCCGAGACCAAUCCCUUAGAUGGCCAUUUCUUGCGUUACAAGUGGUAUCGUGUACAAAGUGAUAAAAAGGUUGCUGUUUGUAGCAUACACCCAUCAGAGCAAGCCACCCUGCAGUGUCUAGGUUGUGUCAAGGCCAAAAUACCUGUUGCCAAGAGUUACCAUUGCACAUCAAAGUGUUUUUCAGAUGCAUGGCAACAUCAUCGUGUCUUACAUGACCGUGCUGCAAGUGCAAUCAAUGAAAAUGGAAAUGAAGAGGAGGAGUUAUUUGGGCGUUUUAAUAAUUCUGGCUCUGGGUCAUCAAAUACCAGCUUAUCUGCCUCUGCAUCAAGUGCUAGCUUGACAAAUGGAUCUGCACCAUUGUAUCCGGCAGCAGUUACACAACGAAGCGGUGGUGAAACGUGGUUUGAAGUUGGACGUUCUAAGACAUACACCCCUGCUGCCGAUGACAUUGGUCAUGUCCUGAAGUUUGAGUGUGUUGUAGUUGACGCAGAGACAAAACUUCCUGUGGGGCAUGCUAGCACUCUACUAACGUCCCGUGUCAUUCCUGCUCCUUCACCUAGCCCACGACGAAUGAUACCUGUUGAUCCGAUGGGGCAUUUAGAUGCUGACGGGCGUAUAACAUCUUCAGGAUCUUUUACAGUUCUAUCAUAUAACAUAUUAUCUGAUGCAUAUGCCUCAAGCGAUCUUUACAAUUAUUGCCCUUCAUGGGCUCUUUCGUGGCCAUAUCGCCGGCAAAAUUUGUUACGAGAAAUAGUUGGUUACCGUGCAGAUAUUAUUUGUCUGCAGGAGGUUCAAAGUGACCAUUAUGAGGAAUUUUUUUCCCCAGAACUGGAUAAACAUGGCUAUUAUGGUCUAUACAAGAGAAAAACAAAUGAGGUAUACAAUGAUAGCAACAAUAAAAUUGAUGGUUGUGCAACAUUUUUUCGUAGAGACAGAUUUUCACAUGUGAAGAAAUAUGAGGUUGAAUUUAAUAAGGCUGCACAGUCAUUAACAGAUGCUAUGAUCCCCACCACCCAGAGGAAAACUGCCUUGAAUCGGCUUGUUAAGGAUAAUGUUGCACUAAUAGUUGUUCUAGAGGCAAAGGUUAACAAUCAGCCUGUUGAUAAUCCAGGAAAAAGGCAGCUUCUAUGUGUGGCAAAUACUCAUGUAAAUGUGCAGCAAGAUUUAAAGGAUGUCAAGCUCUGGCAGGUGCAUACAUUGUUAAAAGGAUUGGAGAAAAUAGCUGCUAGUGCAGACAUUCCAAUGUUGGUUUGUGGAGACUUCAACUCAAUUCCAGGAAGUGCUCCCCAUGCACUUCUUGCAAUGGGGAAGGUAGAUCCUUCACAUCCCGAUUUAGCUGUUGACCCACUUAAUAUAUUGCGCCCUCACAGCAAGUUGGUUCACCAGUUGCCACUGGUCAGUGCAUAUUCAUCCUUUGCAAGAACAAUGGGUCUUGGUUAUGAACAGCAUAAACGUAGACUUGACAGCACAACAAAUGAACCUUUAUUCACAAAUGUCACUAGAGAUUUUAUUGGCUCUCUAGAUUAUAUAUUUUAUACAGCGGAUUCAUUGGUUGUGGAGUCACUAUUGGAGCUAUUGGAUGAGGAGAGUUUGAGGAAAGAUACCGCACUUCCUUCUCCAGAAUGGUCCUCGGAUCAUAUAGCUCUCUUAGCUGAGUUCCGCUGCUGCAAGAAUAGAUCUAGGCGUUGACUCACAAGAUCCAGAGAUACACUUAAACAAAAAGGUUGAAAGAAUCAAGUAUUUAGUUGACAAGAUAUUGUAAGAGUGGUAGAUCAUGGCCUUUGUCUUUUUCCCAGGUGCAGCAUUUAAGGGCUUACUAUCCAACAAUGAAAGAGAAGACAUUAAUUUGCCCAUUAUGGUUAACAAGAGAAAACAUGACGUGCGGUUGGGGGAGUUAAAGUGUACCUCACGAAUACCAUUAGUGUUUUGGAUGUUUGUCAAAAGAGUUCAAUUUUUGGGCAGAAUUUUACUUCUUUUGAAUUUUGUCCUCUUUUCUGGGCCCUUGCCCUGAUGAUUUACCAAAAACAAAAAUUGUUAUUUCAUUAUGGGAAUUAAUUUC